GAUGAACGCUGGCGGCGUGCCUAAUACAUGCAAGUCGAGCGAACAGACGAGGAGCUUGCUCCUCUGACGUUAGCGGCGGACGGGUGAGUAACACGUGGAUAACCUACCUAUAAGACUGGGAUAACUUCGGGAAACCGGAGCUAAUACCGGAUAAUAUAUUGAACCGCAUGGUUCAAUAGUGAAAGACGGUUUUGCUGUCACUUAUAGAUGGAUCCGCGCCGCAUUAGCUAGUUGGUAAGGUAACGGCUUACCAAGGCAACGAUGCGUAGCCGACCUGAGAGGGUGAUCGGCCACACUGGAACUGAGACACGGUCCAGACUCCUACGGGAGGCAGCAGUAGGGAAUCUUCCGCAAUGGGCGAAAGCUUGACGGAGCAACGCCGCGUGAGUGAUGAAGGUCUGCGGAUCGUAAAACGCUGUUAUUAGGGAAGAACAAAUGUGUAAGUAACUAUGCACGUCUUGACGGUACCUAAUCAGAAAGCCACGGCUAACUACGU
rnacentral:rRNA from 1 species